rnacentral:rRNA from 1 species
AUGGAGUUAUCAAAGCAGGGCCAGGAACCCAUGUCAGCUAGCAUGGGAUCUCAAGCACUCCCCUCUUCAAAUAUCCAACCUGCUCAGUCUGGAUAUCCCGCUGCGUUCUAUCCACCCCUAUCUGCUGGCUGGGGUGCACAGCCAAUGUUCUCUACGGGAGCUUCGGUACCUGUCAGUUCAUAUUAUAUUGUCCCUAUGAGUCAACAAGCUGCCCAAGUUGGUGUUUCCAGGCCAGAGACUUCACAUCCUUUGGGGGUGCAAUCUGUAAGCAGAGUAUCACUGAGGCCGCCCCAGCAGGUGCUGAAUAUUCAAACAUCUUUGCCAGCAGUGACUGGAUCACAGCUGUCGCCAUCUGUUGCCGGAAAGAAAAGUGUUGCUUCUCCAAAGGUCCAGAUGAUGAAAUCUGCAUUAUCUGCCAAGCGUCCUGCACAGAAAGAGCUACCAUCAAAGGCUCAGCCUCAGCAGUUUGAAUCCGUGAGAUCAAAGUUCAGGGAGUCACUUUCUGCUGCACUCGUCAUGGAUUCUGACCAGCAGGAUAAGAAACAAUCUGCUCAGAACCUGCAGUCUGAUGGGUCAGCAGACCAGAAGAAGGUGGAGGGAGAUGAAGUGCAGGAUACAGUGAUGACCACAUCCAAGGAUGCGAGUACAACAAAUUCAGAGGCAGACAAUGCUGAUGUUGCUAAGAAAUGCGAGGGAGAUGAGAAGUUAGGCUGUGGCAUAGCAUCAGACAUGAUCACAAGCACAAAUGAUGACAGUGACACACAACAACAACUAAAGCACCUUCCUUCAGAAGAUGAAGUAUUAGACCAAAGUAUGGUUGUCACAGAUGAACUCUUGCAAGGUCAUGGCCUUUGUUGGGUUUCUGAUUUUCCUGCUGGGAUGGCUGAACCUGUGACACAACCUAAUUUGAAGAGGGACAGGGCUUCUGAUAUUGAGCCUGGGGUUACAGGCAAUUUGACAGAGUCUGAAUCAAAAAGAAUAAAGUCUACAGAUGAGGCAGCAACAGAUAAGGGUAGUAUGAUCCAGAAGGCUGAAAGCUUGGCAUUUAGAAUUGAAGAGGAACUCUUUAAACUGUUUGGUGGAGUGAACAAGAAGUACAAGGAGCGAGGCAGAUCUCUUCUGUUUAAUCUAAAAGAUAAAGGCAACCCUGAGUUAAGGUCGAGGGUCAUAUCUGGAGAACUUGCACCCGAUCGCCUUUGUUCAAUGACUGCGGAGGAACUUGCUUCCAAAGAGCUCUCAGAGUGGCGGUUGGCUAAAGCCGAAGAACAUGAAAAAAUGGUUGUCCUUCCUAACACUGAAGUUGAUGUCAGGCGUUUAGUGAGGAAAACACACAAAGGAGAGUUCCAAGUUGAAAUAGAAGAAACUGAUGGUAUUUCAGUGGAGGUUGAGCUUGGGGGUAAUGUUCUAUCUCAUGUUCCAUCAAAAGCUGUUGAAAGUGAAACAAAAACCAAUGAUGAAACAAGUACGGAUGAUAAAACUGGUGUAGAAGUUAAGGACAAGGGUUCUGAUGGCAUGUCACAAGAUGAGGAUGGUGGGACAGGUGACAAUGAUUCAUCAGGCAAUGUUGAAUAUAUUGAAAAUGAGAAAGCAGAUCUUAUUGAUGAACUUAUGGUGGAUGACUUGAAAGACGCAGAGAAUCUUCCACCAAUUCCUUCGCUAGAUGAAUUCAUGCUGGGGUUAGAUUCUGAACCACCUUUUGAAAAUUUAUCAGUUGGGACCCCGCAAAAAGAUCUCAGUGAUUCUGAUGAACCUAGCUCCACCUUAGAUUCUGAGAAACUUCCUGAGACAGAAGAUAAGCAGUCUGCACAAAAGAAGGCCAGAUCUGAAUCAGAUGUGCCGGCUUUACAGGGUAAAUCGGAGUCCAAGUCAGAAUCACCCAAACAGAAGUCAGAAUCACCCAAGCAGAAGGUUGGUUCAGAGUUGGUUCCUGAUGUGCCACGCGAUGGAGAGAAAAUCAAAUCCUCCCCAGAGAAAGUCGAAUCUAAAGAACCUGCUGCUGCUAGUGCUAAUAUGUCGAAUCCUGUUUCAACUGUGAACCAUAAGACAACUGCUGUUCCUAUGAUUCGUGAGAGUAUAUGGGAGGGUGCGAUUCAGCUUACUCUAUCGUCACUCACGAAUGUUGUUGCCAUUUUCAAAAGUGGUGAAAAGCCAUCUGGGAAAGAAUGGAGUAGCUUAAUUGAAAUCAAGGGGAGAGUUAAACUUAGUGCUUUUCAAGAUUUUCUCGAACAACUUCCCAAAUCUAGGAGCCGCGCUAUAAUGGUAACUGAGCUGUGCUGGAAGGAGUGUUCGUCGGAGAGUGGCCGCCAACAACUCUCGCAGACAAUUGAUUCAUAUAUUGCAGAUGAGAGAGUGGGACUAGCUGAGCCUGCAGAUGGACUGGAGCUGUACCUGUGUCCUCCUCAAGGGAAAACUGUGGAGAUUCUCUCCCAGCACCUGCCAAAGGAGCACUUGGGUGGUCUCGCUGUGGCAGAAACGUCGAUAAUUGGAAUCGUCGUCUGGCGGAGACCCAGCGUUCCUAGGGUGUCCUCCCAUCAGAGGCAUGAUGGUUCCAAGAGGCAGUCAGCCCCAAGGAAACCCCAGGUUACCGGUUCUACUUCGGCCCAUAGGCCCUCCGCGCCCCAGAACUCUCACGGCGUGCCACCAGGUUUUCCCAACCAGCAGCACCACCAGCACCAAGAGGAGGAUGUAACUGAUGACGAUGUGCCCCCGGGCUUUGGGCCUGGCGUUGUUGCGCGCAGGGAUGAAGACGAUCUUCCUGAAUUUAAUUUUGUUAACCCCGCUGCUAAUGUAACGACGCAUGCCUUCAAGGGCCAACGGCAUGUAGCACCGACCUCUGCUCGCCCAGUCGAGCAAAUGAGGGAAUUGGUUCAGAAGUAUGGUAAAAGAUCAUCUGUUGAAUCGCGUCCUUGGGCUGACGACGACGACGAUGAUAUACCAGAGUGGAACCCCAUCCAGCAAAGUAGGCAGCCGCCACAAUUCACACCCACCCCGCAGCAACCACUCCCACCACCACCACCACUACCGCCCAUGCAGCAGAUCCACCAUGCGUACCAGCAGUACAACCCAAAUGCAAUGCAGCCUCUCCUUCCCCAGGUUGCAAUGCAGUACAGCCUUAGUAGCCAGCAGCAGCUCCCUUUGGUCCAGCAGCAGCUUCAGCCUUCGCAACCAUGGCAGCAGCAGCAGCCUAGUGCCUGGUGGCCGGCGACGGCGCAGCAGGGUGGGUCGGCCGCCGCCGGCUCUGCUGUUCCAGCGCCCCAGUAUGGUGGUGUGAUAAUGCCUAAUGGUAGCAGCGCCCAAGCUGGGAACCUAGGUGGCGCCCCCUGGGGACCGAGAUAG